rnacentral:misc_RNA from 1 species
ACGAUACAGAAACUACUUCAGUGUCUGUUGAUCCCAUAAUACAAAUUGGUGUUCUCAACAUAUCCGAAGUACGCUUGAAGGUUUCUAUGAUCAUGUCCCCAACACAACGUCCAGUAGGUGUUCUCGGGUUUUGGGCUAGUCUGAUGACUGCACUUGGAAACACUGAAAAUAUGACUGUGCGGAUAAACCAAAGAUUUGUGGAAAAUAUAUGCACGAGGCAUAGUGUUAUGAUUGGUACUGCUAUUGCGAACGUCAAGAAGGAUCUUCUUAGCCAGCCUCUCCAACUACUUUCUGGCCUUGAUAUAUUAGGCAAUGCCAGUAGCGCACUUGGACACCUGCGCCCCCCCCAGAAAGCACCAGCGUGUUUG